AUCAACAGUCGUCAGUCUUGUUUGAAACAGAUAACAGAGUUUCGAAAAUUUGCAUAAUAUGUACAUGACUAUUAUUUUAUAAACCACUAUAAUUUUAAUUCGUGUUUUUACUGUUGGUUAUGGUAUUAGUUAUAAAAUGAAGUAGCAAUAAUGUAGCAUACCUAAUAAAAAAAUCUUUAUUAUAACAAGAAAGAAACUGACUUAUAUGUUGAUAACAAUAGCAUUAGGCUACUACUGCCUAUAUCGUACCUAUAUUUUGAGUUUUCUGUGGAGAACGAAUGGCUCAAGUUAAUGAAGCUAAUGAAAUAUCAAAAACCUACCAAAAAUAAAAAUGCCAUUUAUGUCUGCCUGUCACCACAUAGAAAGCUUUCCGAAAGACACAACUCCUUGGUGAACCUAUUGUACUGCAUUAUAAAAGCGGAAGAAGGAGGUGAAAUCAACUUGCCGACUGUUUAGCUGUGGUAAAAGCUCUCAAAUCCAUGAAUCCAGGAACCUAUUCAAUUCUCAAGAACAUCUCUGUCAUAAUGUGGUCGGACCCGUUCACCAAGGAAGGUCGCAGUAAUCAAAGCAUUCAUUUUACUCCUAUUAUCAAGUAAUUGAAAAGCUUUGAGGAUCGAAAUAAUUUCUUGAAAUAUGUUAACUAUUUCAUGAUUCAAUGUGAUUUCUUGACUAUUGACAUUUUAAAUUAUGGGACAUCAUGCAAUUUUAGGCAUUUGCCUGAUGCAAAUGGUUGAGCAUUGCCCAUAUAUUGUGAUGAAGAAAAAUUUGUUUCAAAUCACUUCAAUGAAUAUUAAGAUUCAAGCAUUCUGAUUAUACAGAUUCAAGCAUGGGAAGCGGUAAUUUUUGUCUCAAGUUACAUAUUAUACAUAAUUUAAGAUUUUUUAUUCUUUCCUGUUUCAUUAUUAUGUAAGUUCUGCUGAAAUUAACACGUGAGGUUUAUUGGCUAAAAUUACUUCCCACUAUUUUACAUUAAUUUCUUCCAAUUUAUCGAAUUUCAAAGUUUUUUAGCUUCCUCAACAACCUGUCAACUCAAAUUUUACUUGAAUUUUUAUUGCAAUCUCUAGGCUUUUAAAUUUCUAAUAAUGUAUACAAAUAGGUUUGAAUGAUAAAUCAUUCUAUUCAAAAAUUACAUAUCACUAUACUGAGAUUUGCUUUGCUUUUACUUGCUUUGCUUUUUCAAACUGGUUGUACUGACAUUAGGAAAAAUUCAAUAAUAAUUUUUUUUUCAGUCAAACACAAAUCUUAAAAAUGCGUAGAACAAAUUAUUAUCUAAAAAUCAAAUUUUAUUAAUUCCGAACAAAAGCUCAUAUAUAUUAAUCAAAUAAAAUAACCAACACAAUGUUCUCCCAUGAAAAUCAUACCUAAUGCGAUAGUAACAACUCAGAGAAUACAAAUAAAAGGAACUUAAACAAAUUACAAACAUCUUAUCUCAAAUAAAUUAAUCAUUUCCAUCAAAUAAGGUAUUUUGUCCUGCCUUACCAGUUUGAACCAUGAGCCUAAAAAUAACCUAGUAACUUACAUUGUAAUAUGCCUGUAAUCCCAUACCUGAGCUCCGUGACACAGUACAGCCCUUUCGGAAGCUUUAAACCAUUUACAUUUAGCUGGAAAGUCUACCUUAGCAUUAUUAAAAAUGCCUCUCCAUGCCAAGUUCAACCCCAGAUUCGCCUUCUCAGAUUUAUCCUUCACUUGAGCUUCAAAAUUCAGUUUUGAUGCCAGCACUACUAAUACCCAAUGAAAAUAAUAUUGUUACUUAUACUAUUUUAUAAAAAUAGCUCAUUCAGCAAUAAAUACAAACUUAUUUUAUUAAAUGAUUUCUUAAUGUUUUGCAGGACAAAUUCUGACAUUUUACAACAUUUUACAGGCACAUAGAAGACUGGCUUAUGAUGGCGAAAGACUUUUGAAGGCGGUUACCUUGAUUGGGAUCAUAUCUAUUAAACCUUCGAAUCCUGCACUCAAAAGUAAAUGUGAUACCAUUCAAAUGGAAUAAGAUUGAUUUGAAUUGGAAUUUGUUAUUCCUGUAUCAUAGUGCAUUUUUCUUCUAGUUACCCUACGUAUUGUACAUUAUUGUAAUAAAGCACUAGCUGUUCCAUAGUAGAAGUCUUUGAAAUAAAAGGUUUCUUUUUCAAGUUAGUGUCACAUUUUAUAUUUUUUAUCCAUUGUAUACGGUAUAUCCAUUUAGUUUUAGAACAUUGUAUUAACACUACUAUUGUUUCAAAAAGAGUCUGAAUGUAAUUUAGAAGAUGAUUCUAUCGUAUGAUUCUUCAACGAAUCCAUCAUAACUUACAAAAAACUACAGCAUUUGUUCUAUUUACUUGUCAAUAAUCGUAGUUGCAGAAGCAUUUGUAUUUCCAAAACCAAAUUUGGUAUUUAAUUAUGAAGUAUGAGUAAAGACAUAUUCGCCUACAA